rnacentral:lncRNA from 1 species
AAAAACCAACUUACCUGUCUUGCUAAAUUUCAAAGCACUGCCUUCAAAAGUCCAUCUUACAAAAUCAAGGGUUUCAGUCCUUUCUAUUAUUGCCCAAAUCAAAAUCGAAACCAAGCAUUCAAGAUGAUCAUCAACCUCCUGUUUAAGUUCUGUAUGUUUCGCAGCCGAUUUGUGGAGAAAUAAUUAAGAUCAAGGAGAAUUGCAUAGAUGAUCAGGUAUCUGCAAAAGCUUGAACCGUGAUUGAAG